rnacentral:lncRNA from 1 species
AAUAACAGCCCGAAGGCUGGGGCGCCAAGUUCGUCCAGCGGAAAAAGACCACAAAAACGGGUGGGCUAUAGCCUUGGGGGGUGGGGCUGGCCAACUUCGUCCGCCAAACUCGGAAUGGCGUGAGACUUUGCGAGGCACCUCCGUGUGCCAAAAAUAGGCCGUGACCACAGCCGCUCCCAAAAAAACCCGCCCGAAGGCCGGGGCACCAAGUUCAUCCAGCGGAAAAAGCCCACAAAAACGGGUGGGCAAUACCCUUGGGGGGUGGGGUGGCCAACUUCGUCCGCCGGACUCGGAAUGCCGCGAGACUUUGCGAGGGGCCUCCGUGUGCCAAAACUAGGCCACGGGCAAAGCCGCGCCCAAAAAUAACCGCCCGAAGGCCGGGUCGCUAAGUUUGUCCAGCGGAAAAAGGACACAAAAACGGGUGGGCUAUAGCCUUGGGGGGUGGGGCUGGCCGACUUCGUCCGCCGGACUCGGAAUGGCGCGAGACUUUGCGAGGGGCCUCCGUGUGCCAAAAAUAGGCCGCGGGCAAAGCCGCACCCAAAAAUAACCGUCCGAAGGCCGGGGCGCCAAGUUCGUCCAA